CUGCAGUACAAUGGCGGGCAGCUUGAGGCGCUCGCACAGCAGCCGGAACCGCUCGUGAUGUCCCUCCAUGCCCGGCACUAUGCACAGGUACUAGUGCCUUAUACCUGCCUAUAGUAUAUUUUGUCCCGGUAUGUAAGUAGUUUUUACGAUACGAGGGCGAAGCCGUCAAAGCCAUGAUAAUUAGCUAUUCAAGGAAAUACUUACGUCUCAACUGUCAAGAAAGGUAUUUUGUUUUCGUCGAACACAAUAUUAUAAGUUAAUUUCAAAUAUUGAGAUAUUUCUUGUAUUUUGUCAUUAAAUACGCCCAAUUCUUCCAAA